CUCGCCAGGGAACAACGAGCCCCAGCUUAAAACCCAAAGGACUUGGCGGUGCUUUAGACCCCCCUAGAGGAGCCUGUUCUAGAAUCGAUACCCCCCGUUCAACCUCACCCUCCCUUGCUUUCCCCGCCUAUAUACCGCCGUCGUCAGCUUACUCUGUGAAGACUCAAAAGUAAGCAUAAUUGGCACAACCCAAAACGUCAGGUCAAGGUGUAGCGCACGGGAGGGGAAGAAAUGGGCUACAUUUACUGAAACAGUAAAAACGGAUUUUUGCACUGAAACGAGCAUCUGAAGGAGGAUUUAGCAGUAAGAGGCGAAUAGAGCGCCCCUCUGAAAAUGGCCCUGAAGCGCGCACACACCGCCCGUCACUCUCCCCGAAAAUAAUUAAACCAAUAAAUAAUAUGCCUAGUAAAAUAGAGGGGAGGCAAGUCGUAACAUGGUAAGUGUACCGGAAGGUGUACUUGGAAAAACC
rnacentral:rRNA from 1 species